GAUGAACGCUGGCUACAGGCUUAACACAUGCAAGUCGAGGGGAAACGGCAUUGGGUGUUUGCACCGAAUGGACGUCGACCGGCGCACGGGUGAGUAACGCGUAUCCAACCUUCCCGUUACUGCGGGAUAACCUGCCGAAAGGCAGACUAAUACCGCAUGUUCUUCGAUGACGGCAUCAGAUUCGAAGCAAAGACUCGUCGGUAACGGAGGGGGAUGCGUCUGAUUAGCUAGUUGGCGGGGCGACGGCCCACCAAGGCGACGAUCAGUAGGGGUUCUGAGAGGAAGGUCCCCCACAUUGGAACUGAGACACGGUCCAAACUCCUACGGGAGGCAGCAGUGAGGAAUAUUGGUCAAUGGGCGGAAGCCUGAACCAGCCAAGUAGCGUGCAGGAGGACGGCCCUAUGGGUUGUAAACUGCUUUUAUGCGGGGAUAGAGUGAGGGACGUGUCCCUUUUGCAGGUACC
rnacentral:rRNA from 1 species